rnacentral:tRNA from 1 species
CCCAGUGUGGCACAAAUGGUUUAUGCACUUGACUGCUAACCAAAGUGUUGUUGGUUCAAGUCCACCCAGAGGCA